UGGGGAAUUUUGCACAAUGGGCGAAAGCCUGAUGCAGCGACGCCGCGUGGAGGAUGAAGGUCUUCGAAUUGUAAACUCCUUUUGUAGGGGAAGAUAAUGACGGUACCCUAUGAAUAAGCCACGGCUAACUCUGUGCCAGCAGCCGCGGUAAGACAGAGGUGGCAAGCGUUGUUCGGAAUUACUGGGCUUAAAGGGCGCGUAGGUGGUGAUAUAAGUCCGGGGUGGAAGGCUGAGGCUCAACCUUGGAAUUGCCCUGGAAACUGUAUCACUUGAGUCAGCGAGGGGAUGGCGGAAUUCCUGGUGUAGCGGUGAAAUGCGUAGAUAUCAGGAGGAAGGCCGGUGGCGAAGGCGGCCAUCUGGCGCUGAACUGACACUGAGGCGCGAAAGCGUGGGGAGCAAACAGGAUUAGAUACCCUGGUAGUCCACGCCCUAAACGGUGGGCACUAGGUGUAGGGCUCGUAAGGGUUCUGUGCCGAAGGGAAACCAUUAAGUGCCCCGCCUGGGGAGUACGGCCGCAAGGUUG
rnacentral:rRNA from 1 species